AUUGAACGCUGGCGGAAUGCUAUACACAUGCAAGUCGAACGGCAGCACGGACUUCGGUCUGGUGGCGAGUGGCGAACGGGUGAGUAAUGUAUCGGAACGUGCCCAGUCGUGGGGGAUAACGUAGUGAAAAUUACGCUAAUACCGCAUACGAUCUAUGGAUGAAAGAGGGGGAUCGCAAGCCCUCGCGCGAUUGGAGCGGCCGAUAUCAGAUUAGGUAGUUGGUGGGGUAAAGGCACACCAAGCCAACGAUCUGUAGCUGGUCUGAGAGGACGACCAGCCAGACUGGAACUGAGACACUGGCCAGACGCCUACGGGAGGCAGCAGUUGGGAAUUGUGGACAAUGGGCGAAAGCCUGAUCCAGCCAUUCCGCGUGCAGGAUGAAGGCCCUCGUGUUGUAAACUGCUUUUGUACAGAACGAAAAAGUUUCUACUGAUACUAGGAGCUCAUGACGGUACUGUAAGAAUAAGCACCGGCUAACUACGUGCCAGCCGCCGCCGUAA
rnacentral:rRNA from 1 species